GCAGUCGAACGAGUUCUGAUUAUUGAAAGGUGCUUGCAUCUUGAUUUAAUUUUGAACGAGUGGCGGACGGGUGAGUAACACGUGGGUAACCUGCCCUUAAGUGGGGGAUAACAUUUGGAAACAGAUGCUAAUACCGCAUAAAUCCAAGAACCGCAUGGUUCUUGGCUGAAAGAUGGCGUAAGCUAUCGCUUUUGGAUGGACCCGCGGCGUAUUAGCUAGUUGGUGAGGUAACGGCUCACCAAGGCAAUGAUACGUAGCCGAACUGAGAGGUUGAUCGGCCACAUUGGGACUGAGACACGGCCCAAACUCCUACGGGAGGCAGCAGUAGGGAAUCUUCCACAAUGGACGCAAGUCUGAUGGAGCAACGCCGCGUGAGUGAAGAAGGCUUUCGGGUCGUAAAACUCUGUUGUUGGAGAAGAAUGGUCGGCAGAGUAACUGUUGUCGGCGUGACGGUAUCCAACCAGAAAGCCACGGCUAACUACGUGCCAGCAGCCGCGGUAAUACGUAGGUGGCAAGCGUUAUCCGGAUUUAUUGGGCGUAAAGCGAGCGCAGGCGGUUUUUUAAGUCUGAUGUGAAAGCCCUCGGCUUAACCGAGGAAGUGCAUCGGAAACUGGGAAACUUGAGUGCAGAAGAGGACAGUGGAACUCCAUGUGUAGCGGUGAAAUGCGUAGAUAUAUGGAAGAACACCAGUGGCGAAGGCGGCUGUCUGGUCUGUAACUGACGCUGAGGCUCGAAAGCAUGGGUAGCGAACAGGAUUAGAUACCCUGGUAGUCCAUGCCGUAAACGAUGAAUGCUAGGUGUUGGAGGGUUUCCGCCCUUCAGUGCCGCAGCUAACGCAUUAAGCAUUCCGCCUGGGGAGUACGACCGCAAGGUUGAAACUCAAAGGAAUUGACGGGGGCCCGCACAAGCGGUGGAGCAUGUGGUUUAAUUCGAAGCAACGCGAAGAACCUUACCAGGUCUUGACAUCUUUUGAUCACCUGAGAGAUCAGGUUUCCCCUUCGGGGGCAAAAUGACAGGUGGUGCAUGGUUGUCGUCAGCUCGUGUCGUGAGAUGUUGGGUUAAGUCCCGCAACGAGCGCAACCCUUAUGACUAGUUGCCAGCAUUUAGUUGGGCACUCUAGUAAGACUGCCGGUGACAAACCGGAGGAAGGUGGGGAUGACGUCAAAUCAUCAUGCCCCUUAUGACCUGGGCUACACACGUGCUACAAUGGAUGGUACAACGAGUUGCGAGACCGCGAGGUCAAGCUAAUCUCUUAAAGCCAUUCUCAGUUCGGACUGUAGGCUGCAACUCGCCUACACGAAGUCGGAAUCGCUAGUAAUCGCGGAUCAGCACGCCGCGGUGAAUACGUUCCCGGGCCUUGUACACACCGCCCGUCACACCAUGAGAGUUUGUAACACCCGAAGCCGGUGGCGU
rnacentral:rRNA from 2 species